rnacentral:ncRNA from 1 species
CAACCUCAACUCAUAUGGGACUACCCCCUGAAUUUAAGCAUAUUAAUUAGGGGAGGAAAGGAAACUAACAAGGAUUUUCUUAGUAGCGGCGAGCGAAAAGAAAACAGUUCAGCACUAAGUCACUUUGUCUAUAUGGCAAAUGUGAGAUGCAGUGUAUGGAGCGUCAAUAUUCUAGUAUGAGAAAUUAAUGAUUUAAGUCCUUCUUAAAUGAGGCCAUUUACCCAUAGAGGGUGCCAGGCCCGUAUAACGUUAAUGAUUACUAGAUGAUGUUUCCAAAGAGUCGUGUUGCUUGAUAGUGCAGCACUAAGUGGGUGGUAAACUCCAUCUAAAACUAAAUAUAACCAUGAGACCGAUAGUAAACAAGUACCGUGAGGGAAAGUUGAAAAGAACUCUGAAUAGAGAGUUAAACAGUACGUGAAACUGCUUAGAGGUUAAGCCCGAUGAACCUGAAUAUCCGUUAUGGAAAAUUCAUCAUUAAAAUUGUAAUAUUUAAAUAAUAUUAUUAAGAAUAAUGUGCAUUUUUUCCAUAUAAGGACAUUGUAAUCUAUUAGCAUAUCCCAAAUUUAUCAUAAAAUAUAACUUAUAGUUUAUUCCAAUUAAAUUGCUUGCAUUUUAACACAGAAUAAAUGUUAUUAAUUUGAUAAAGUGCUGAUAGAUUUAUAUUAUUACAGAGCGUUAAUUUUUCGGAAUUAUAUAAUGGCAUAAUUAUCAUUGAUUUUUGUGUUUAUUAUAUGCUCUUGUAUGAUUAACAAUGCGAAAGAUUCAGGAUACCUUCGGGACCCGUCUUGAAACACGGACCAAGGAGUCUAACAUAUGUGCAAGUUAUUGGGAUGUAAACCUAAUAGCGUAAUUAGAAUCCACCACAGUGGCG